rnacentral:lncRNA from 1 species
ACACUGGGACGAGGAAACUGAGCUCCGGGCACAGCUCAGCCUGUGGGAAUUGCCCAACUGGGCUGUCGCAAUGGGCUAGGAGGCCAGGGUCGGCCCUGCCGCUGGCUGCCAGGACCAGGCUUCCUGGCCACCCUAAGCGCCUAGAAUCUGGGGACGAUGGCGGCCAAGCAGUUAACAUCUGCUCUGCGAUGGCGGUAAAAAGGAAAGCAAAAUUUCGAUCUAUUUUUCUGGGAAGAGAGUAAGAGAUUCGGGCUCUCCCGGCAGGACCCGAGCUUUGCAACACACCGGUGUUCCUUUAAGUCCAAAAGAGGGCCGAGAAACCAGCUGGCCCACAGUUCACAGAACAUCCCAGCAGGAACCCGUACCCCUGUGGAGACUGCUGAGAAACUGGAGCCUAUCCAGGCCACGGCCACGGCCGGGGAUCAGCCCCAACCUACGGAGCCCAUUAACAGUCGCUACCUGGUAAUUUCUAAAGCACCCACUGGGUGGGUGCGUGGUCCACGGGGGGCCACAAAAGCCAAGGACACAAGUUCACUGCCUGCAAGGAGCUUGCCCGUGGGAGAUAAAGCUGGUAACGGGCUCGACACCCAGGCAGCCCUUCCGGGAGGCGGAGAUGGGCUCCAGAAAUAACAGGAUUCAGAGGCUGCAUCCAAGGACGGAGAGACCAAAGUCCUGGUUGCACCAUUUGGCAGCAUGUCGCCUGACCUCCAGGAGCCUGGGUGUCUCUGUCUUUUAAAUGGGAUUCACAGAGACCCUACCUCUUAGGGUUAGCGUGAGGGCAGAGGGAAAUAAGGGGAGUUCCCGUGUGGCUCAGCAAUAAUGAACUUGGCUAAUAUCCCUAAGGACGAGCGUUCAAUCCUUGGCCUUGCUCAGGGGGUUAAAGAUCUGGUGUUGCUGUGAGUUGUGGUGUGGGUCACAAACAUGGCUUGGAUCCUGUGUUGCUGUAGCUGUGGUGUAGGCUGGACGCCGUAGAUCUGAUUCGACCCCUAGCCUGGGAACUUCCAUAUGCCUUGGGCGUGACCCUAAAAAGCAAAAAAAAAAAGAAGGAAAUUCAGGAAAACAACAUGAAUGAACCUCAAAGACGUGACCCCAGUUGAAAGAGGGCAGGUGUGCAAAGUGGCACACGGAAUGGUUCUUUUCCUAGGAAGUGGCCAGAGCGUUAAGUAAAUCCCUAGAGAUGAGAAGCAGAUUAGUGGUUGCCAAGGGCCGGGGGAGGGGAAAGGGGUGUCCUUUUGGGGUGGUGACAAUAUGUUGGAACUAGAUAGGGGGUGAUUGCAUGGGAAUAGGUGAAAGGUCACGGGACGGUGCAUUUUAAAACGGUGCAUUUCAGAAUUCCCUGGUGGCCUAGCGAUUAAAAGAGGCAGCGUCCUUCAAUCCCCGGCCUGAGGUCGAGGCCAAAAACAUUAAAAUGAAAUCAAAUGGUUCAUUUUUUGUUAUGUGAAUGUCACCUCAAUUAAAAAAAUGUCUUGAAGGAAAUUUGUUUGCACAAACAUAAUGAAUGGGACACUCGCCAGGGCCAAACCCCAGACACUGCCUCCUGUCACCCUCCAGCCUGGGCUGAGUGAGCUGGGUCACCCUCUGUCCAGGCCUGGACACCCUCAGCCUGGCCGGUGGGGCCUAGCGGAGCCCAGACAUGGGGGCAGGGAGGGGGCUGCCCCACACGGUGCGGGGAGAGGCCAGUGUCCCCAGGCUGCUGGGAGGACCAAGUUACAUCAGAGGUCGUGUGCGAGAUGCGUUACAAAGAGAGAGGGAUGAGCUCCAGGUGCACUGGCUGCACCUGCCAUGGAGCACCUGCCGUGGGGGGAGGAGGGGAGCACGAGGGGAUGUGCGCAGCCAGGGAGCCCACAGGGGUCAAGGCAGAGUCCCCGCCUGGCCCAGACCCGGGGACAGUCAGCUCCUCUGCCCACCCCCACCCCCCUCCCUCUCCUGGCCUCCCUGGCUCCCCCUCAGAGUCCCAUCCUAAUCCUGCCAGGAGAGGGAGCCCAGGGCAGUGGGUCUCCGUCCUGUGUCCCCCCUGCAGGCAGCCAGGCCAGAGAGAGAGCUGUCCAGCCCGCAGCCACGGAGGAGGCGCCCGCCACCCAGCUGACAUGGGGGCGGGUCUCAGGCUUUCCCCACUGGGCCACCACUGCCAGGGCAGCCUCCUGGGCUUUGGGCCACCAGGCGGAAAGGAUAAAAAGAGGCCACAUGCCUCCUGCCAAGUGGAGGCAUCCACGCACCAGGGGCAACUCUGUCACACAGAACUCGGGUGCCAGAGGACCACGUGGGCAUUCAGCAGGGCGAGUUGGCAGGACCGACACCACUGCCUGUUGGGAUCCCAGGACUCGGGGAGGCCAUGCUGCUGAGGGUGCCCUAGCCGGCCUGGCCCAGGCUGGGAGCCACCAGUAUGAGACGCCACUUGACUGGCAAGAAACUCACCUUCCGAGGAACCUGCCAGUCUUCAAACUCAUAAAUGCCCUCCAGAGUUAGUGACCCCUGAACUACGGGCAGAUGUUAAGUGCCCAUAACCCUUUCCGGCUGGUGAUAACCCCGCGGCACUCUUGGCUUUUCUUGCGAUGGGUUUGCUGUUUUCUCCAAGGAGUGGGUUUCAUCAGAUCCGGGUGCCCAAGACCGUGGCAAGGACCCAGCCACGGAAGGAGGGGCUGGACGGCGGCUCACAGUCCCCUUGUGCAGCUCCAGCGCGGGGCAAAAUCCCGCACAGGCCUGCGGUGAGGCCUCGCAAACAAGCAGCAGCAUGAUCCUGCCGGCCAGCUCAGCCCCCAGCCUUGGCCCAGAGCGGCUCUGGCCGCCCCGCCUCUGGCUCCCCUCCUGCAGCCCAUGCCGACCGCCCGCCACCAGAGGCCUUGCCAGCCGCCGAGGCAGCCCCUUGCGUCCCGUCCCCAGAGCCCUCAGCAGCCCUGAAGUCAUUCUGCUCCAGGAUCUGCUCCGUGUUUAUGUCCUGCCUCGGUCUCCGGGGGGCCUGACGUGCUCCCUGCAGCUUGUCCCCAGCACCCAGCCCCCGCGGGAACAAGGACCUGAGACGGAAACGGCAAAAGCGCUGUGAGCAAGACACCUGCCCGCGGAUCCCAGCCCCGCUGCCAGCUGUCUUUCUCCAUCGCUUGGCCGGCCCGAGGAUCUCAAGAAUGGAAAGGGGUUUAGGGGGUCUGGAGACCACCCCACCACCCAAGAAAGGAGCCCGAGGUUAACUCCCACGUUCUCAGGAGAGCCGCCGACGUGUUGAUGCAAGCGCCAAGUAAUCGAAUUGCAGGUGGGGGUGGGGAGGAGAUAAUUGAAUAUCAGCGAGGGGCUGUUGUCAGGUCAGCCAGUUCCUGGCGUGUUCUCGUAUGUGUGUUUUCUGAGAGAGCCCCCAAAUAAAACAGUUCUAUUAUUUUAUGCC